UACGUAGGGUGCAAGCGUUAAUCGGAAUUACUGGGCGUAAAGCGUGCGCAGGCGGUUGUGCAAGACAGAUGUGAAAUCCCCGGGCUCAACCUGGGAACUGCAUUUGUGACUGCACGGCUAGAGUGCGGCAGAGGGAGAUGGAAUUCCGCGUGUAGCAGUGAAAUGCGUAGAUAUGCGGAGGAACACCCGUAGCGAAGGCGGCACUCUGGGCCGGUACUGACGCUGAGGAGCGAAAGCGUGGGGAGCAAACAGG
rnacentral:rRNA from 1 species